CCAAUCAUAUUGAAUGAAUUUUCCCUACGCUCUUGCCUGCAUUUUGGUUACGUUACUCAUAUCUUUGCUUUCGAUGUCUGUUUAAUGCUUUCACUCCCAGUGUUUUCGAUACCGAGUUGUGUCAUUAUUUUUCCGUGAAGGGCAGGGUUUAGAGGGAGGCGUACACAAUGAGUAUCUAAUGGUCCACUAGUUCUGGAGUGACGGUUCAACUUAACCCAACAGUGUCAUCAAACCAGAUCUGUGGACACAAACCGGAAAAGAGCUCGAGAUAAUGAGCGAGAAUCUUGAGGUCACCUACAAGGGAGAAGAGCGCGACUUUCUGAAGAAUACGGAGUCAAUACAAAGGAAACAAGACAAGGAAAAAGGCAAAAGAGAAGUUGGAGAAGACUGUUCAAAGAGGCACUAUUGGCAGAUUCCAAACCAAGGGAUGAAAGGCUUUUUUAUUUUACCUUUAUUUUACCAGGUGAAAGGAUGCAUGAACUUAAAAUUCAGACUGAUGAACUUAAUAUUCAGACUGAUCAACAAAUGUGUCCUACCUCAUUGUGAUCUGUGUUGUAAAUAAACAGGACCUAUUGAAAUCAA